rnacentral:tRNA from 1 species
GCGGCUGUAGCCCAAAGGCAGAGGCGGAAGACUUAAAAUCUUCAAAGUGUGGGUUCGAGUCCCACCAGCCGUA